rnacentral:rRNA from 1 species
AACGAACGCUGGCGGCAGGCCUAACACAUGCAAGUCGAACGCGCGUAGCAAUACGCGAGUGGCGCACGGGUGAGUAACACGUGGGAAUCAACCCUGAGGUUCGGAAUAACCGCGGGAAACUGCGGCUAAUACCGGAUGUCCCCCAUGGGGGAAAGAUUUAUCGCCUUGGGACGAGCCCGCGUCCGAUUAGCUAGUUGGUGAGGUAACGGCUCACCAAGGCUACGAUCGGUAGCUGGUCUGAGAGGAUGACCAGCCACACUGGAACUGAGAUACGGUCCAGACUCCUACGGGAGGCAGCAGUGGGGAAUAUUGGGCAAUGGAGGCAACUCUGACCCAGCCAUGCCGCGUGGGUGACGAAGGUCUUCGGAUUGUAAAGCCCUUUCGGCGGAGACGAUGAUGACGGUAUCCGCAGAAGAAGCCCCGGCUAACUUCGUGCCAGCAGCAGCCG